rnacentral:rRNA from 1 species
ACAAGCGGUGGAGCAUGUGGUUUAAUUCGAAGCAACGCGAAGAACCUUACCAGGUCUUGACAUCCCCUGACAACCCGAGAGAUCGGGCGUUCCCCUUCGGGGGACAGGGUGACAGGUGGUGCAUGGUUGUCGUCAGCUCGUGUCGUGAGAUGUUGGGUUAAGUCCCGCAACGAGCGCAACCCUCGACCUUAGUUGCCAGCAUUCAGUUGGGCACUCUAAGGUGACUGCCGGCUAAAAGUCGGAGGAAGGUGGGGAUGACGUCAAAUCAUCAUGCCCCUUAUGACCUGGGCUACACACGUGCUACAAUGGUUGGUACAACGAGUUGCGAGUCGGUGACGGCGAGCUAAUCUCUUAAAGCCAAUCUCAGUUCGGAUUGUAGGCUGCAACUCGCCUACAUGAAGUCGGAAUCGCUAGUAAUCGCGGAUCAGCACGCCGCGGUGAAUACGUUCCCGGGCCUU